GGAGGAAGGAGAAGAAGAAAAGAGGUUCACCUAGGCAGCAAGCAACCAACCUUUGUACCUUGAAUUGAAGAAAUGGAAACUGCUCUGACGGGGGAAGGGAACAGAGCAUGCCAGCGACAGGAGAAUGAUUGGAGGGGGAUUUGAUCAGGGCUGGGAGUACUGAGGAGUCAAAGCUCGAGCAGAUGAACUAAGAGGAGUCAAAGGGAUUGUAGCUCGAGCAGACAGACUGAGAGGAGUCGAAGGGGUCGUGGCUUGAGCAGACGGACCGAGAAGAGUCGAAAGGAUUGUGGCUCGAGCAGACGGACCGAGAGGAGUCGAAGGGAUUGUGGCUUGAGCAGACGGACCGAGAAGAGUCGAAAGGAUUGUGGCUCGAGCAGACGGACCGAGAGGAGUCGAAGGGAUUGUGGCUUGAGCAGACGGACCGAGAAGAGUCAAAAGGAUUGUGGCUCGAGCAGACGGACCGAGAGGAGUCGAAGGGAUUGUGGCUCGAGCAGACGGACUGAGAGGAGUCGAAGGGAUUGUGGCUCGAACUCUUCCAGGUGACCCUAUAUGGCCCAUUUGUCCCUGGAUGUGUGCUAUAUACACUCACGGUAAGGGUGUGGAGGAGUCCACGCUCAAAACAUUUGAGCACCAUACUAGCAAGCAAAUCAGGUAUUUAAAGUAGACCUAUACACAAUUUCACUUAGCUGUAGAUAUUCAUUCAUCACCAGUGUGCAUGUCUCACGAAUUUCAUGUCACCCCAUAUUAUAUUGCUCUCUACAACCUGGGAGGACACUACUUUGCUGGUAAAGGAGUGGAGCAGAGUUUCGAGAAAGCAUCUAAGAGUUCCAACAAGCAGCAGAUAUUGGAUUUGCACCAGCUCAGGUUUACCUUGGCAACAUGUACUACAAUGUUAUCCAAGGACAAAGCCAAGGCUAAGGAAUUGUACAAACUGGCAGCUGACAGAGAUAAGAAUGCAAAGGCACUGCUCAAAGAGAUUGAGGCAGAAGAGGAGAAGGAGGAAACAGUUAGGACAGAAGUGAUUGUUUACAUGCGUGCAUAAUUAUACCUUGCUAAUUUAAUUUGUUGGGCAUUUGAUGCAUGACUCUAUGAAUUUACAAAAUA